AGGACCACGAGGGAAGAGGAAGCGCCGCCGCCGCCGCUUCUCGUCGUCGCGCGAGUCGACGCGACGCGACGACGAGCGAGACCCGUCCGUCCGUCGAGGGGCUUUAGUCCGCGUCCGUACGUCGACCGAAACACGCGAUCCCCCAACGUCACUCUCCCGACCCGGUGUUAGUAGUGCGCGCGGCUCCCUUUUCCUUCCGGCUCCUGUCGCUCAAUCAUCACGUCCUUUGCCAAGGGAGGACCUUAUCGCUUAGUUCUACCGCGUCGAAUAAUAGAGUUCUCUUUCGCUCUCUUUUACUCUUUUUACCCUCUCGUCUCUCAUCCUCUCUCGAGCCGGUUAUUGGAGAAAACUCUUUGUUCGGCCUUCUUCGAGAGAUGCUUCGCGAUCCUUUCUGAGAUAGACGGAAGAGAGGAUGUCCCGUGCGCGCGGGAGGAGGAUUAAGAACGCCGGAAAUUCGGGAUGUAAUAUCCGGCGGCCCUAGUUACACGUACGGUGUGUGCGCGGCUUUCCUGCCUUCGAAGUCGGAGCAGCUCCGAUAUAAGUCAAAGUGAAGGAGGAGAUCUCGCAGGAUUUUCAAUCGUUCGGGAGCCUACUCAACGGAGAGUGAUUGUCGCCCGAGAAAAGCACAGGGAAUCGUUGCCAAAUUCGUCACCCACCAGCAUCACUUCGCGGAAUCGUCUCUCUUGUAAACGCUCUCUUGAAACAUGCGUUAAGGAAACUUGAGGACACUCUCGCCGGCGAGAAACUAUUCGAAUUUUUGACGGGGAUCUCGCGAGUUUAGAGAAACGAAGUUGGCGACAGGGAGGAGACGUCAUGAAGAGACUCGCCUUCGUUCGCGGCAGGAAGUGAUCUUCGGAGAAAACGAGGAAGCGAAGGGAUAUUCUCGGCGCGUUGGGCCAGACGAGUCGGGCCGGCGACGGGCCCGAUCGGUGUGAUGGUCUCAGGGUGGUGCCCUUGCGUGCCACUAGGGCGUCGGCAAUCGUCGGCCCAGCAACAACAGCAGCAGCAGCAGCAGCCGCCGUCGUCGUCAUCCAGGACGCCGUUCACCGUCAGCGGCGCGACCGAUCGCGCGGACAUGGUGCAGAUGUUCUACUACGAGAACCGCGGCAAGUGUUGCAAGAAACUGCUGAGAUACAACGGAUACCCGAAUAAGGUCCUUUUGUUCCCGAGGAAGGCUGGGCGAGAAGCGCGAGUAGUUCCUACUGGACCUUGACGCCAUUCUGGUGGAGUCGGAGUCGGUGCAAGGUCGUCGAAGUCGCUGGAACAAGAAGGUACAGUACUCAAGCGAAGAUGGUAGAUACGGGCACGGGCACGCUUUAUAUUAUCGGCUCAUUCAAGAGGAUGACAACCGACCCAGAUUUUAAGCUGUACCUGACAUCGAACGUCUCGUCGAGCGACUUCAACAUGGGUUACAGUAUGACAGGCACGCUGGAACGCGGCUGCAAGAAGACCAAUUCUUUCCAGAUGACCCACUUCGCGGUGAUACGGCGACGGGACUACGAGAAGGCGUACGAGGACCCGAAUCCCACCUAGUGUCCGUCCACACCCACGCUUUCCGAGUGUGGGGACUGCGAGCAUUACACAUAGUUGGGAAGGCAAGGGGCCGUCGAGAGAAGGAGGACAAGAUGCACUUCCGCAUGUAUGUGUAUCGCGCCAACCCAUAAAUGCUGGGCAAGAAGUUGCUCUUCGGCGCGAGAUCGAUCGCGAAUUUCCCAGAAAUCCCGAAACUCCUGGCGGGUCGGUAAACGGCCUCCACGAUAUAUGACGGAAAUCUUUCUCCACUUGCGCAGAAAUACUCGUGUAACAUUAGAUCGCUAAAUAAUUGUCUGUGCGUUGAGAAAUAUUUUUAUCAUUAUUUCUUAUUUUUGCUUCGAAAGGAAACGUAGUAGAGAAAUAAGGCGUGGACAGAAAAAUUGCAGACAUAGAAACAAGCAAGAUGAAGAAAAGAAGUAAGAAUUAAGAGAGUAAAAAAGUAAACACUGCAAUUAGAACGGAAUCUAUAUUUCUCUUGUGUGAGACAUCAUGAGGAUGGAAGAUAAUCAAAAUAAGGUGUAAAAGGGGGAAGCUUUAAUUCGCGCAAAAUCAACAUUAGCUCGUGGUAAUAAGAGAUUACAGAGAUGAAAGGUGAAAGAAAAAUAUCAAGAUAGAGUAGAUUGUAAGGAGAGAAGGAUAUCAAGAGCUUUAAUUUACGCAAAAUAAAAAUAUUCCUCUUUCACGCAAGAUUUCUCUUCUACGAAAAAUAAACCCUUCAUAAAAAAAUCUCUCGGCAAACAAAUUCUCGAACAAAAUGUUCCGCUUAUGCAUUAUGCAUUAGACUUUUAUAACUUUUAUUUGUUUACCGAAGCUUACGUCAAGAUUCAAUUAGCGGUCUAAUGGAUUACACUGGUAUCUCUGUUAUCUCGAAUUCUCAAGGCACGUCAUUUUUGCACGUCAACGAGUCCGAGAAUUAAACGAGACCUGACAGCGACCUGGAAACGAAACAGCGGCAUCACGUUUUGAGAAGGUAAGAAGAAAGAUCAAGGAAGAUCGGAUCGUUAUAUUAUUAUCCGCGGAGAAACGAAAUACUACCAAAGCCGAGCGUGUGACGGCCCUGCGCGACAGAGCCAAACGUCCAAAAAAAUAGUCCUUAAUUUAGAUCGAAUUAAUUAUAGCUCUUAAUGAAAAUCGGCGAACGAUUGCGUAUACCUGUAUAAGCGAGAUGAAGAGUAUUACAAAGAGGGGCGAGACGACGUUGAUCGGGAAAAUGCGGGAACCGUUUUACCAAAGUACUAGCACGUAAGUCACUUGCAACUUUCCGCCACGCGAUAACCCGAGAUAACGUGGCAAUGCAAUCUCCUUCAAUCUAACAAGGUACACUGCUUCUCAUCGAUUGACGCCAUCGAUGCCGCCGCCGCCGCCGCCGCUUCGUCGCGAUUAAUAAGUGAUUAGCGAUUAAGGCUUUUUCUCGGUGAAUUUUCACGGCGACUCAGCUGUUUAGGGUAGAAUUAUAUGUGCCAAUACAAAGCCAUCGUUGACGAGCACUGUACCUGACAAUUGCUACGAGUCAGAGCGCAAGAACGCGCAAUAUUGAAAGCCUGAACCGGACAAGAAACGAUAUUUCCAGCCCCAUUUCACGAUUAGACUCGUAGACAUAUGUGGAGUCCAAAAGACGUUUAAACGAAAUCGAGAGAAAAAAGAAUUAAAAUGUCAAUUUUUUUGCGAUUUUUUACGAUAUUGUCAAUUGACUUUCUGAAAUGACAAAUUGCCCAAUUUUUUGGUAUAACAAUUUAAUUUUUCGUUAUAUAAUAUAUAAAUUCCCAUAAAUAAAAACAAGAAUUAAUCAGAAUAUUUUAUUAACGAUAUAUUUGUCCUGCCUCUUCGAUAUUUAUAAAAUAUAUAAAAAAAAAAUUGGUCUCUCAAAUUUUUGAAUAUAUAUAUAUAUACAGAUUAAUUCCUCCGAAUAGAUUAAGAAUUCACUUGAUUUAUAUAGCUUUAGUUACAUCAAUUGCUAUAAAAUAUAUAAAAAAAAUUGGUCUCUCAAAUUUUUGAAUAUAUAUAUACAGAUUAAUUCCUUCGAAUAGAUUAAGAAUUCACUUGAUUUAUAUAGCUUUAGUUACAUCAAUUGCUUUAUUCGAUCGUAUCUCUGCCCAUGGACAGUUAUUGCAUGUCGAGUUUGAUGGUUCGCCGGGGUGGAAAAUUUCAUAUGCCGGGCCCCCGUGUCAGAACGCCGGUUAUAAAUAUCGUUUCCCCGGCCCAGGCUUUAUAAGCAGUAUAUAGCUAUAUAGCGUGUAGCCGGCUUACAAGGUAUUUCAAAGCUUGUUACGCGCCCCUUUCUUUGAGCCAUCGCCGACGGACGUCGCUCAAGGAAGGAAGAAUGAGAGAAUGAGAGCUUCGCUGCACUGACCCCGGACACACAAAGCGCGAGAGAUAUCUCUCUCUUAUCUUACGUUACCUUACAUACGGGAUCGUCGUGAGCCGGUGAUGUAACGCAUAACACGAUACUUAUUUUUGCUAAAGAGUAGAAAGUCGCUCACACCAGUCGCACGAUGCAUCCCGAUGAGAUCGAAGUCAGUGCUCGCCGAUCGUUCGUUCGGGAGAAAAAAAGAAGUGGCGAGUCGAGAAAAAAAGGCGGGAAGAAGAGCUCGUCAUUGAUCAAAUGUGACAAAUUAGAGAUUCGCGCAAAACGAGAGUCUUUCCAUAUUAUAUACGAGAUUGAUUUGUAUAUUAGCGAGUAGAGAUGAAUUUAUGUCGCGUUUAAACAAUGUGAUUAUUGUUACUUUUACUGUAGCCCUUUUCGUGAAUAUUCGGCAAUAUUGUCAAUGUUAUCGAUGUCACAUCAUAUAAUUCGAAUCGCUCUUCUAUAUGAUACAUAAACGUUAUCUAACAGCAGAAACAUUUCAAACAUAAAUUAUUGAAUAUAAGUAUAUUUAUAUGUUGAAAUAGAAAUC